AUUGAACGCUGGCGGCAUGGCUAAAACAUGCAAGUCGUGGGAGAAGCCCUUCGGGGUGGACACCGGCGAAAGGGCGAGUAAUGGUAUCGAACGUGCCCAGAGGUGGGGGAUAGCGUCGGGAAACUGGCGGUAAUACCCCAUGUGCUCUACGGAGGAAAGCUACGGCGCCUCUGGAGCGGCGAUACUCCUAUCAGGUUGUUGGUGGGGUAAUGGCCUACCAAGCCUUAGACGGGUAGCGGGUGUGAGAGCAUGACCCGCCGCAUCGGAACUGAGACACUGUCCGGACUCCUACGGGAGGCUGCAGUAACGAAUCUUCCGCAAUGCACGAAAGUGUGACGGAGCAAUGCCGCGUGUGGGAUGAAGCAGCUUCGCUGUGUAAACCACUGUCAGGGUCUAGGAAGAACUGACCAGACCCAGAGGAAGGACCGGCUAAUCUCG
rnacentral:rRNA from 1 species